rnacentral:rRNA from 1 species
AUUGAACGCUGGCGGCAGGCCUAACACAUGCAAGUCGAACGAGUGGCGGACGGGUGAGAAAUGUAUGGGAAACGGCCCGAUGGGGGGGGAUAACUACAGGAGAAGGGAGCGAAUAACGCAAACCAUCGUAUGUGCCCAGAUGGGAUUAGCGAGUAGGUGGGGUAACGGCUCACCGAGGCGCCGAUCCCUAACUGGUCUGCGAGGAUGACCAGCCUGAUUGGAACUUGGACACGGUCCAGACGCCUCCGGGAGGCAGCAGUGGUGAAUAUUGCACAAUGGGCGCAAGCCUGAUGCAGCCAUGCCGCGUGGAUGAAGAAGGCCGUCGGGUUGUAAAGUACUUUCAGCGAGGAGGCGUUACUCGCAGAAGAAGCACCGGCUAACUCCGUGCCAGCAGCCGCGGUAAUUC